GACGAACGCUGGCGGCGUGCUUAACACAUGCAAGUCGAGCGGUAAGGCCCUUUCGGGGGUACACGAGCGGCGAACGGGUGAGUAACACGUGGGUGACCUGCCCUCAGCUCUGGGAUAAGCCUGGGAAACCGGGUACUAAUACCGGAUAUGACUCCAUGACGCAUGUUGUGGGGUGGAAAGCCUUGUGCGGCUGAGGAUGGGCCCGCGGCCUAUCAGCUUGUUGGUGGGGGUGAUGGCCUACCAAGGCGACGACGGGUAGCCGGCCUGAGAGGGCGACCGGCCACACUGGGACUGAGACACGGCCCAGACUCCUACGGGAGGCAGCAGUGGGGAAUCUUGCGCAAUGGGCGAAAGCCUGACGCAGCGACGCCGCGUGAGGGAUG
rnacentral:rRNA from 1 species